UACGUAGGGUGCGAGCGUUGUCCGGAAUUAUUGGGCGUAAAGAGCUUGUAGGCGGUCUGUCGCGUCUGCUGUGAAAAUCCGGGGCUCAACUCCGGACUUGCAGUGGGUACGGGCAGACUAGAGUGUGGUAGGGGAGACUGGAAUUCCUGGUGUAGCGGUGAAAUGCGCAGAUAUCAGGAGGAACACCGAUGGCGAAGGCAGGUCUCUGGGCCGAAAUUGACGCUGAGGAGCGAAAGCGUGGGGAGCAAACAGG
rnacentral:rRNA from 1 species